ensembl:lncRNA
CUAUUUUUUUGAACAAGUGGGCGGUGUGAGUUUAUACUUCCUUUGCCUUACCACUAGAAACUGUUUAUCAUGUAAACAGGCCUUGUUUUUUAAAAGCCAAUUUUUUAAAAACAAAGAGGUAUUCGCAUUCCUCAGAAACGUUUGAGGAUGUCAUAAUAUAUGAAAAAGGUCUGUGUAAACCAUAAAAACAUGCAAGCCAGCAUCAGUAGACAUGACUGUGCAUGCUCUGAAGGAUGCAAUUAAAGGGACAGGUCACUCAAAAAUGACACUGAGUCAUUCUCAUGGUUUCCAAACCUGAAUGACUUCAGAGACUUCAAAAAGAGACUUCAGGUAGAAUAUUAUCGACUGACAGUCAGCAUUCACUUCCAUUGUAUCUUAUGCCAUUCAAUGAAAGAUGAAUGGAGACUGGGACUCAUCUCAUUUCGUGUUUCACAGCAAAAAGAAACUCAUACAGGUUUCGAACAACAUGAAGACGAGUCAAUAAUGACGACGUUCUAAUUUUUGUGCCAUCCUUCUGAAAUACACACGCGCGCGAGCGCCCAGGUGCUUCAUUUCAGGAUCACAGGCAGGGGAACCGAAACGGUCAGCAGUGCUUCCAGGAAGCGUCACCGGGGAGCACGCGCGCCGACAGACAGAGGAAUGCAGCAGCGUCCGCGACUCUCCGUCAGGCAGCCGCGAAACUAGAAGGUUCGCAGGCAGCGUGCGUGGCUCGGAGUGCGCGACGGGGUUUUUAUUUUACCGCUGUCGGCGCGAGCUGCUGCUGACGCGAUGCUUUAGCCAUGGACAGCAGGUUAAACGAGAAUCCUGCGAGAACCUUUGAUUUGGCUCUUCAGGUUGCAUGUCCAUCAUCUGAACAUGAAGAUCCGACAGUGCUGUGGAAGUUCCCUCAGGACUUUGGAGACCAGGAGGUCCUGCAGACAGUGCCUAAGUUCUGCUUUCCAUUUGAUGUUGAAAGGGUGUGCCAGACUCAGGUGGGCCAGAACUUCACAUUUGUGCUCACAGACAUUGAGAGCAAGCAGAGGUUUGGGUUCUGUCGGCUCACGUCCGGCUGCAGGGUCUGCAUCUGUUUGCUCAGCUAUCUCCCCUGGUUUGAGAUUUAUUAUAAGCUGCUAAAUACCCUUGCAGACUACUUGUCAAAACACCAGGAAGAUGACUUAAACGACAUGUUGGAAACGCUGCACAACCACCCCUUGCCAAAGCCGUAUACGGCAGUAAAUCUGAGUGUGCAUUCAUACUUCAUAGCUCCUGAUAUUAAUGGGCUCCCCACCAUACCUGAAAAUAGAAAUUUAACUGAGUACUUUGUCGCAGUGGAUGUGAACAACAUGUUGCACCUCUACGCCAGCAUGCUGCAUGAGCGACGCAUCAUCAUUACCUCAAGCAAGCUUAGCACUUUAACUGCAUGCGUGCAUGGGUCCACUGCCAUGCUCUACCCUAUGCACUGGCAACACAUCUUCAUCCCUGUACUUCCUCCUCACCUGCUGGAUUACUGCUGUGCGCCCAUGCCAUAUCUGGUCGGAGUUCAUCUCAGCCUUUUAGAGGUACGUCAAAUAAAUCUACUGUCAGCAGCCGUCUCCAGUCUGAAGAGUAAGCUGAAGAAGCAGUCGACUGCUACAGGAAGUGGGGUUGCUCGGGCCUUUCUGCAUGCUCAGGCUGCGCUGUUUGGCUCCUAUCGGGACGCCCUGAGAUAUAAACCUGUAAGACUCACAAAAUAUCACCUUACCAUCACAUUAGGACCUUUCGUACCACUUUAA